rnacentral:lncRNA from 1 species
UUUUUUUUUUUGUUUAACUUUUUCAAAUCCCACUUGGACAAUUUUAAAAUAAAAUGUGGAUUUCUUUUCUUUUCUUUUCUUUUUUUAACCCCUCUCCUCUUAAAGAAUCCUUUAGAUGAAAAAAUAAGCCUAGUACCACACAAAAAUUAAAUUACCCAAGUGAUAUCCCUGUGCUUCAGGAAUCAUUCCUGCACCUUUUAAAUCAAUGCCUGUCUGUCUCUAUGGGGAUUUCAUCUUGUCUUUCUGCUCUGGGACAAGGUCUUCCCAAAGCCUUAGGUCCUUUCAGGUUGAGAAAUGCAACUCCCACUCACUCCUUGUAAGUACUUUUUGAAAAUGAUGCAGGAAAUCUAUGUAAUUCAUCAGAAAGAAGUUCUGGUUUCCAAAUAGGUGAGUUCUAUCUCCUCCUCUCCCCCUCCUAGUUCUAUGUUCUCCCACUGAGUAAAGCCAGGAACAUGCAAGUGAAAUAGGCAGGCAGGGAUUUAGCCCCAUAUGUGUCUCCCUCACUUUCAAAAACAUGAUCAGAGCAAGCACUUCUACAAACUCACAGCAGGCUUAAAAUGUGGCCAUCCAGCAGGAAAACACUUUGCUGAAUUUCUUAAAUACAGAUCAAAAUGCAGGCUCUGUGAUGUUUCUUUUCAUGGUCACUAGCCACUCGUCUAAGGGACACAUACAAACACCCCACUACACACAUCAGGAGCAAUAUGAGCACUGGGAUCGACCAAAUCUUAUUUCUUAUGCAUACAUUCAAGGAUGAAUUGUGUAAGGAUUCUUCUAUGUUAAUAAACGUUGAGAUUUUUCCCUCAGAAGGGAAAUUUUUAGGUUUUCUCUCCUCUGUGGAAAAUGUGGAAACUUGCCAUAUCAGAGAUUUAUGGUGGUGGCAGUGAUGGCUGCUAGAGAGACAAGGGCAGCCAUGUGGUCAGAGAGAAAUCAGGUGGCACUUGAAUAAAAUACAGUUCCUGGACAUUUUUAGCACAGGUCCUGCUCAGAGGCCAUGGUUUAUGACCUGUUUGUAGACAUGCUGACAUGAGAGCCACCAGGAAGUGAGCUAAUGAGUUUCUAAGGCUGAUUUUGUUCAGAUGCUGUUCAGCAUCUUUCAGAAGCCUCUUGCAUCCUGUGUAGGAGUAUCAGUGCUCCUGGGGAGUCAUUCUCAUCUCACAGAUAUGAAAAAUUGUUGGAUCUUGGCUAUAAGUGUUUGGUGUCUCUUGAUUCUUGAUAACUUCAUGUAUCCUCCUACUAAGUUUGGGAGACUGGUCUAAAAGUGUCAAUGUAGACAGGCUCAAUUACUGUAAAAUACAGUUCAUAUUGACAUAAGGUAUGCCAGAUUGAAAGGUGAACCUAUCUUCUCCUAAAGCUAUUCUAUUUAAAAUAAACUUUAAAUAUCUGUGAUUUAUUGGAUCAUCUUCACUUCAGUCUUGAUGCACAACUUCCAGGAUUACCACAGUUCAUUUACCAGAUAAAUCAGAAGUCCUCUCAGUGGAGUAUGUUACUUUGUGUACAAGGCCAUGAACAUACCUGUGCAUUAAAUGAUAGUUUUUGAACAACUUUGGAAGCCGACAUAAAAAAACCCACGUUGCAUUAGCAGACUAUUAUCAAAAUAGCAAAAAGCUGAGGAAUAGAUACUCAGAUAACAGAUAAUAUAUCUGAAAUGGAUUUUCCCCCCACCCCAAGUAAUAAAUCCAUCUCCAUAAUGAUAGUGCUCAGAUUGAAGCUAUGAGUCUGCAAACAUGCACUUGUAUAGUUCCCUUCCAGGUGGGAAGAGCUCCAGGCUUUUGUGGAGUAAAACUUCGUAACAGAGUUCUUCUUAUAAAUCUUUGCUCUUAAGGUUUUCUGCCUUGAUUAGGAAAGAUCAUUCAAGGUUGGCAGCUGGCACAAAAAGGUUGGUGUGAUCUCAUGAUCAAAUUUUUAUUUUUGAUACAACUGGUAGGAGCAAAACUUGACUGGUUGUGCACUUCUCAUCAGCAGACAACUUUCGACAUUGGAGUAUAACAGACAUCAGCUGUAUAAGAUUUAAAUCUGAAUGACUGGUUUGUACAGGAACAAUUUCUGUCAGUGUUUGUACAGCAGUGGAGAAUAAUAUAGACUGUAUGUUGCUGAGGACAAUUGGGCAAUAUUUUAAUAUGGACUUGAUGCACCUACUCACUUUCUUUUCACAGACAUCAUAGAAGAGUACAUCUAGUCUAACAUGUUUAAUGAUGGUGGGUAUGACACUUCAUCUAGUUCUUGCUGUAUUAAGCCUAGGAACUUACUGAACCAUGAAUGUAAUUUAGACUUUCAUGAGUUGAUGGAUUGCUUAAACCACAACCUCAUUAAGUUCAACAAAGACAAAUGUGAAGCUCUAGGAUGGAAUGUCCCCAUGUGCCUGACAGGCUGUGCACUGACUGGCGAGCAGCUCUGCAGGGAAAAGUCUGUUAUUCCUGCUGGACACCAAGCUGAAUGUGAGUUAGCAGUUGCAGUGAGGAAAGCCAGCUGAACAUUGAAAUGUGUUACCAAAAGCCUAGCCAGCAUCUCAGAGGAAAUGAUCAUGCCCUUCUACUUAGUCACUCCUGGAGUGCUGUGCCUGGUUUUGGGCCUCCCCAUGCAAGAGAGGUAUGAACUAACUGUAGUGAGUCCAAUGAAGAACAAUGAAAAGGGCUGGGGCUCAAAUACAUGAUGCAGCAUGAGAUGCUGAGGGUGCUGGGCUUGUUCAUCCUGAAUUAGAGAAGGUUUGUGGGAGAUCUAGUUGCAGUUCUCUACCAAAUGGAAAGGAAGGGGGCUGACAGAGAAAACAGAUCCAGGUUCUGCAGAGAUGCACAGUGAAAGGAAAAGAAGCAACGGGCACAAGCUGCAGUAAAGGAAAUUCUUACCAGACAGAAGGACCCUCCUUCUACCUGUCUGUCUACCCCAGGAGUCGUGCAGCACUGGAACAGGGGAUCCCACAGCCCAGAGAUGCUGUGGGGUCCCCUGCUGUGGCUUUGAAAUAGAUCCUGCUGUUAGAAGGAUAUUGGAAGAGGAUAAUGUCAUUACAGAAACAGCUCAGCGUACUAACAGAUGUGGAAUCAUAGUGUCCCAGCAGAGCUUUGGUAGAGGCUGUGACUCCCACGGCACGAAGAAACAGUUUUUAGGACACUGCCACACAGCACAAUAUAUUCUCCUUUGAGGUGGCCAUAACAGCUUACCAGUACAAAAUGGCUGUGCAUUUCCUAACGUCUCUAAUAUUACUUGAUUUGAUCAACCACGUGAAGUCUUAUGUGCAAGGCAGGCUGCCUUUUACAGGAUGGACUGAUGGAGCAGACAGAACAGAAAAUAGAAGAUUAAAUACCAAAUUAUAGAUAGAAAAGAAGAACCAGCAAUGCUCUUGUAAUUAAUGGGGCAUUAUUCACAUGACUGCAUGGAAGGGGAGGAGGUUUAUGUAUGUCCUACAUGAGAGGAUGGGACUUUAUUCAUCCGUUAGCAGUGACCAGUACAAUGCAUCACGUGAGUCCUGGUCUAACGGUACAAGCCUAUUCCCCUCUUUCCUAUUCAGUCUGUUCCUGGCAGUGAUCUCCAGGCCUGUGACAAUGUCAGACAGGCUAUCUCUAGUUAGAUAUAAUCAUCACACUAAAAGAACAUUGAGAAAGAACAAAUUCAUCCAUGUGAAGAAGAAGUUAUACAUGCAGAUUUUUCUUUUGCAGUGAAACUACUAAAUCAUGUCUCCCCAGCCUGAACACUCAGUUGUUUGCACAUGAAAUUGGAGAGAAGAGGAUAUUUACUCUACCUGAUCCCUUUGGUUCCCUGCUUAAAAAAUGAAGAGCUUUGAUCUGAAAUUAAUGAAAAAGAAGCAUAAUCUGUUUUACAUAGAUGUACCCAGGAGACUUUUCAAAUAGCACCUUUUUUUUUUUUUUUUUAAUUUUUUAAUUGAAGGCAAGGAAACUUAGCAAAAAAGGGACAUUUUUACAAGCUGACAUGCACAGCAAUUUUUCUGACUCUUUAACAGGGACUGCAUGAGGAUAUAUCAGUCCUUUGACUCC